AAGUCGUAACAAGGUUUCCGUAGGUGAACCUGCGGAAGGAUCAUUAAAAAAUGAGGUAUUUAAUACCUCUUGUAUUUAAAACCCAACUCUUAAAAUAUAUUUUUUUUUUUCAAAAAAAAAAAAGAAACUUUCAACAAUGGAUCUCUUGGCUCUC
rnacentral:misc_RNA from 1 species